rnacentral:rRNA from 1 species
UACAGAGGGGGCAAGCGUUGUUCGGAAUUACUGGGCGUAAAGGGCGCGUAGGCGGCCCGCUAAGUCGAACGUGAAAUCCCCAGGCUCAACCUGGGAACUGCGUCCGAUACUGGCAGGCUUGAAUCCGGGAGAGGGAUGUGGAAUUCCAGGUGUAGCGGUGAAAUGCGUAGAUAUCUGGAGGAACACCGGUGGCGAAGGCGGGUCUCUGGGCAGUAACUGACGCUGAGGAGCGAAAGCGUGGGGAGCGAACAGG